rnacentral:rRNA from 1 species
UAAAAACCCCGACUUCGGAAGGGGUGUAUUUAUUARAUACAAAACCAAUGCCCUUCGGGGCUCUUUGGUGAUUCAUGAUAACUAUACGAAUCGCACGGCCUUGCGCCGGCGAUGGUUCAUUCAAAUUUCUUCCCUAUYAACUUUCGAUGUUUGGGUAUUGGCCAAACAUGGUUGCAACGGGUAACGGAGGGUUAGGGCUCGACCCCGGARAAGGAGCCUGAGAAACGGCUACUACAUCCAAGGAAGGCAGCAGGCSCGCAAAUUACCCAAUCCCGACUCGGGGAGGUAGUGACAAUAAAUACUGAUACAGGGCCCUUUCGGGCCUUGUAAUUGGAAUGAGUACAAUUUAAAUCCCUUAACGAGGAACAAUUGGAGGGCAAGUCUGGUGCCAGCAGCCGCGGUAAUUCCAGCUCCAAUAGCGUAUAUUAAAGUUGUUGUGGUUAAAAAGCUCGUAGUUGAACCUUGGGCCUGGCUGGCCGGUCCGCCUCACCGCGUGCACUGGUCCGGCCGGGCCUUUCCCUCUGUGGAACCCCAUACCCUUCRCUGGGCGUGGCGGGGAAACAGGACAUUUACUUU